UACGUAGGGUCCGAGCGUUGUCCGGAAUUACUGGGCGUAAAGGGCGCGUAGGCGGCCUGCUAAGUCGAACGUGAAAUCCCUGGGCUCAACCCAGGAACUGCGUCCGAUACUGGAAGGCUUGAAUCCGGGAGAGGGAUGCGGAAUUCCAGGUGUAGCGGUGAAAUGCGUAGAUAUCUGGAGGAACACCGGUGGCGAAGGCGGCAUCCUGGACCGGCAUUGACGCUGAGGCGCGAAAGCCAGGGGAGCAAACGGG
rnacentral:rRNA from 1 species